rnacentral:rRNA from 1 species
UGGGGAAUUUUGGACAAUGGGCGCAAGCCUGAUCCAGCCAUGCCGCGUGCAGGAUGAAGGCCUUCGGGUUGUAAACUGCUUUUGUACGGAACGAAAAGGUGCCUUCUAAUAAAGGGCGCUCAUGACGGUACCGUAAGAAUAAGCACCGGCUAACUACGUGCCAGCAGCCGCGGUAAUACGUAGGGUGCGAGCGUUAAUCGGAAUUACUGGGCGUAAAGCGUACGUAGGCGGAUGCGCAAGUUGGGGGUGAAAUCCCGGGGCUUAACCUCGGAAUUGCCCUCAAAACUGCACGUCUUGAGACCGAGAGAGGUAAGGGGAAUUCCUAGUGUAGAGGUGAAAUUCGUAGAUAUUAGGAAGAACACCAGUGGCGAAGGCGCCUUACUGGCUCGGUACUGACGCUGAGGUACGAAAGCGUGGGGAGCAAAC